rnacentral:misc_RNA from 1 species
GAGAGAGGAUAGCAGACGAGGUGCCAAAGAGGUCCAAAUUCAACCAGGUGAUACAGUUCUUGUGAAAAACUUACUACCAGGCAACAAACUCACGACAACGUUCAAUCCGACGAAGUUCACCGUAGUAGAUCGCUCAGGUGGUCGAGUCACCGUGUCGGACCAGGAGAACGGGAAAACCUACGAACGGAACGUGGCUCAUCUCAAGCGAGUGGUUGAUCCGCCAGCAGACCUCGGAGAACAGUUCGCGGAUUCCGACACGGACGGAGAAGACUUCAGAGGAUUCGAUCAAAUCGAAAUUCAGGAGAAGUCCCCUCCGAAAGGAAAGCGCACCCGCCGUUGCCCGACCAAAUUUAAUGAUUUUGUGAUGUGAAGAAGAUAAGCAUUUCCAUAAAAAGGGAGAUGUGGUAAUGUGCUGAUUCUCAUGCCAAUUCAUAAACGUGCAAGCCCACUGGGCCGUCUCGCUCUCGGCACUCGACGUGCGUAAAUAAACAAUGUGCUUAAAUCUACUCCGAGUUAGUAUUCAUUUUACGACGAUAAUCCGACUAGUACAAGACCACCUAUCACA